CGGCCCCGCCCCGCCUCGGCGCGGCCGCGCCCGCUGCGUACGCUCGCCUGCUCCUUCCUUCCCCAGCCCCGCUCCUUCCUUCCCCAGCCCCGCUCCUUCCCCGGGAAACCUUUCUCAACCAACACAAGAAAACUACUUAUUGCCCUGGAGACUGAGUUUCAUUAUGGUCGGUGGAGAGAUCUCAUUGUGAACCCUUACAGCUCAUACACCAAAGGGAAGCUGAGUGGAGUGAAUCAUCAUUAAAAACUUCUAUUCACUCAUCUCCAAAUGCCAGCGAGCACCAUCGCAGUAUAUCAGUAGCACACACACCUGUCUGAGAAGGCACCGACUGACACUGAACGUAAAGUAGCUUAGCACGAAAGUGUGACAGAAUCAUCUACCCCUUUCUUAACUGCCCUUCAGCAAUGAAUCUGGGAACCAAGGUCUCAGAACCGGACUGAGAAAAUCAUAACAGGGUUAUGAGGAACAAGAUGGGGGUGACGGGCCAGAUCCUGUCUGAUUGCUGCAAAACGUGGACUGUGUCAAAGUUUUCCUAAGAAAGGAUGUUCUGUGGUUGAUCUUUUUAACUUUCAAGCCCAAGAAGCAAGAGAGGCCAUGAAACUUGUUGGCCCUGUUAAGGUUUAGGGCUGGAUGUGUCUCAAUGACCUCAGCCCUGGGGGAGGGUAUCACACCUUGGGUGGAAGGAUUUCCACUGGCAGUGAGCACAGGGAAUGCAGAAUUUAUGGCCCACACGGACAUCUGGCAGAACUCCCAAGAUGAGGAAGGCACUAGUAAAGGCAGCUCAGGACCUGGGCUGGAUCAGCUCCCACUGGAUACAGGCUGAUUCCAACAGGGGUAGAUCGUGAGCACUGACCCCAGAAACCCCCCAACCCAAAGGAAGAAGAGAAAGACUGAGCGUGGGAUCAAUUAGCAUGAGAAGUAAGAGAGUCAUUAAACAAUGGAAUAUAAAGUAUAAAGAGAGAGUGAUUAGACAUUGGAAUGGGCUGCCCAGAGAGGUGGUAGAGUCACCAUCCCUGGAGGUGUUUAAGAAGAGGCUGGAUGCAGACUCAGUG